rnacentral:rRNA from 1 species
GUAGAGUUUGAUCAUGGCUCAGAAUCAACGCUGGCGGCAUGCCUAACACAUGCAAGUCGAACGAGAAAGUGGAGCAAUCCAUGAGUAAAGUGGCGCACGGGUGAGUAACACGUGACUAACCUACCUCCGAGUGGGGAAUAACCCCGGGAAACCGGGGCUAAGACCGCAUAACACCGCAAGGUCAAAUGCGAAAGCAGCUUGGAGAGGGGGUCGCGGCUGAUUAGCUAGUUGGUAGGGUAAUGGCCUACCAAGGCAAUGAUCAGUAGCCGGCCUGAGAGGGCGCACGGCCACACUGGAACUGAAACACGGUCCAGACUCCUACGGGAGGCAGCAGUGGGGAAUUUUGCGCAA